CGGCGCGGGCGGAGGCCGUAACGGGGCAGUAACGGCGGCGCAGGAGAGGCCGAGCGCGGAGCCCGCGGAGGGGCAGCGGAAAAAGCGGGCAGGGGCUCAGGGGGCGAGCGCGGAGCCCGCGGAGGUGGCUGAAAGAAAUAUAUCACAUAAAAGAAAUGAUUGAGUCAGUCAAAUUAAGAAGGCAGUGCAUGCUGGAUUUCUACUCACAUUAUGAACAUCUUUGUGAACUUCAAGGCUCUGUCCCACUGAAAGCUGUGAAGGCUAACCUGACUCAGAAUGGUAUUGAUCUAAUUGUAGAUCACAUCAAAGCUACUGACUGGGCACCACUUCUGAAUGCUAUCAGGCAUAAUAAGACUCUGACUUCUAUUGGAAUAAGAAGUUUACAUCAACAUGGUCUUGAAGGAUCAGGUGUUGAAAGAUAUAAAACUUACUUUAGAAGGAGAACUCCAGCAACUCUAUCAAAAGACUUAACUGGCCAACUAUGCAAAGCUGUGAAAGGCUGUCUCAGUAUAUCAGAUGUACUAAAAAAUUUAGAACUGCAGGGUUUGCUUCUGAGGGAAAGAGAUCUAACACUUUUAACAAAGGGCUUGGCCACAGCUUCAUCUCUGGAGAGUGUCUCUUUAGCCCACUGUCCAAUUGGAGAUGGAGGGUUGGAAACAGUCUGCCAGAGUAUAAAAAAUGCAGCUACUAUCAGAUCUGUAAACUUCACGGCAUGUAGCCUCACAUGGCGAGGGGCUGAACAUAUAGCAAAUGUAUUAAAGCACCAGGCAGUGAGAAGACAUGGUGAAGCUUGGGCUGAAAGCCUGCGUUACAGGCGACCUGAUCUUGAAUAUAUGACAGGCUUGAGACGGGUUACUUUGAACUGCAACAUGCUUGUUGGAGAUAGAGGAGCAAGUGCCUUUGCAGACUGUCUAGGAGAGGACCUUUGGCUGAAAGCACUUGAUUUGCAGCAGUGUGGAAUAUCCAGUGAGGGAGCAAGAUCAUUAUUAGAUGCUCUUCAAACUAAUACAACAUUAGUGGUACUUGACAUAAGAAAAAAUCCAUUAAUAGGUCAUGUUCUGAUGAAAAACAUUAUUGAAAGAGUUCUUAAGAAUGGAAAUAGUGCUAAUUCAGAGUAUAAGUGGCUGACAUCUCCAUCUUCCAAGGAUGCUUUGAAAAAUAGACCAAAGAAAAGAACUAUUGUCCUAGGAAGUGGUCGAAAAGGAAAAGCUACUAUUCGUAUCGGACUAUUGUCUAAAAAAUCGGUAAGUCCUGGGAAAAAAAUUACAUCUUUGAAAGAGAGUUACUCACCAAAACCACUACCACCAGGCACAAAAGGCUUCCUUCCAUGGCGGACUGCAGAGCGUGCAAAGAGAUGCAGAAUCCUGUAUUUGGAAAUGAAUGUAGCAAUGGUGACAUUACAAACUUACUUUCUCAGAAGUGUUUUGUUGUUUUUUUUUCCUAACUGUAGAGGUGGGGCUCUGGAUCGUACUGGAGAAUUGCCAGUGGAGAUUCAGACAGGUGUUCCUGUGAAAGUGACAGUAGAAAGUGCUUCUACAUUUGAUACUGAAGACACAGAAGAUUUAGAUGAUGUCAUCCACUAUCCUGGUCUGGCAAAAUCAAUUGAUAAGAUUAAUGUAACAGAGUAUCAACAAUUAGAGUUGGAGCUGGAAGAAUGCAUGUUAAAACUAAAGGAAGAACAAAGAGCUAGAGAGAAGGCUGAGGAACGGGUAACGGAGCUGGAAAUUGAAAAUGCAAGAUUAAGGAAUCUAAAUAUCUCCCUAUCCGAGGUUCUUCAUGCACAGUCAGUAACCAGCACGAUUUUGGAAGAUGAAGGUGUUCUAGGCAGCAUUGAGAACUCUUUUCAAAAGUUUCAUGCUUUUUUAGACCUCCUUAAAGAUGCUGGACUUGGACAACUUGCUUUAUUAGCUGGGAUAGACCAGUCAGAUUUUGGCCUUUUGGGGUGUCCGCAAAUGAAUUCUACUCUCAGUAAGCCUGCUAACAUGGUAAAGGAAAAGUCUUUUGAAGAAGAAAGACAGGAACAUACCCAGAACAGCAAAUAUCUUCAUUGGAAUCUCUUGUUUCAGAACAGAAUAGGGGACAUCCAACUGUCUCUUCCUGGCACGUUUCAGUCCCAGAUGGUUAUGAAUAAUGCCUUUUCUGCACUUAGAGAAAUACAAGAACUUCAGACUGUGGGACAGCAGUACCAGCUAGGCUCAUGGAAGGAAAAUGAAGCUCAAAGAAUUGACCAAAAUAAAGAGGAUAAGCCUCGCAGUAGUACACCAAUAUUCUCUGAGAGGAGAGUCAAACAAAAUGAACAAGCAAAAGGUCACUCAGCAAGGCAGUUGCAUUCAUUUACUGAUUCCUGUGUACAUAUUAAAAAUGAUGACAGCAGAGUAUCCAGUGGUAUGUCUAUUGAAAAAAGCAAAAAUUCUUCCUGUAAGAAGUACAUCCCUAGAGCAAAUGAAAUGGCAGCUCCAGCUACUGGAGCGAGAGGAAACCAAAGUACACUACAAGCAGUAAACAGCUCUGGAAGUGACACUUUAGGAUCUGGUUCUGAAAUACAAGAAAGUAUACAAAGUGUUACCAGCAUUUGAAAUGGUUCUAAAAUGUUUGGACUGUUCUUUACACUUGGAAUAUUAAUAAUAGAUUUUGGAUGUUUCAGUAUAGUUUGUGAAUUUUUUGUAAGGUAAUGAAGACUUGUGACUUUUUAAAACAUUGCAUGUUGUUUCAUGUUUGCAUUCCUUGUCAUGAGAUUUUGAAUUUUGGAAACAUGUGAUACACUUAAAAUGGUACCCAUCAGUUUGUACUACAUACAGAGAACUCCUGGCAUAUGGAUUUCAUUAUCUACACUGAUCUUGGUGUAGAUUGUAAACUGUUUUGAGCCAAUAAAGUUAAUUUGAGUACAGUUUUUUUCCAGUGUUUAUUUCCAGUGUAUUCCAAAGUAAGGCAAAAACGGUUUUGGGGGAAACAUCAAUUUCUGCGUAACAGUGUGUGGGUAUGACAUUUCCAAAAGUAGCGGAAGUUUCAGAUUCAAAAAUGAGCCCAGAAACAUCUCUGCAAGAAAUCUUUAAAUAUAACCAGUCAUACCAGUUAUUGGUAUGGUGCAGAUUAUAGAGUAACACAUUGGAAGGGACCUUUGGAGGAUGUCUAGUCCAGCUCAGUUAGCUUGCUCUCAGGACCUAGAGAAAUGUGAGAAAAUAAAACUAAAAUAAUAUAAUUGUUCUAAAACUCCUGGGAUUUUUCCCCCAGUUUCUUGUUUCAGUCCCUGUGCAUAGGCAGCUGAUUUGCAGCUUCUGAACUAGAAGAUAUUUUUCACAUACAGGAAUUAGGCAGGAUGCUUUAGGUUGAACUGGGGGGAAAAAUAUUGUGUAACUUUCUUUUUUAUUCUGAGAUGUGUCAUGUGAGUUCUGGAACACAGAAGAUCUGUAGAAAUUCCUGACUCCUGUUGCUUUAUAAUUAUGAAAAAACUCACGAAUCCUCAAAUGGAAGUUUUCUACAAAACAAAUAGCACAAGUUUACCUUAACUACUGCAAUAUUGCACAAGUAAUUGCACAAUGAAAGUAUGUUCUUUGUACAGACUUUGUCACUUCAGAAUAAUGGAAGGUAAUACAUUAAUCUGUGUUAUUUUUCACAUACUUUCCCAACUGUUUGUCUAAUUCUUCAGUCAUCCUUUGCUUGUGAUUUUGGUUUGAUUGAACAAUUGCAUGCAAUCUGAAUAUUCAGCAUUAAAAUGCUAUCUGUUCCUUUUUUUUAAAUUUAAAACUCUAAAGCUAAUCCCUGAGAAAUGCUGGGUAAAAUUAUAAAUUCAAAAGUGUUUGGAUUUGUGAGGUUAGCAAUUAGGAAUCUGUUAUUUGUCCUGAAAAAUAGCAAAAAGAACUUAGAACAGUUUAUGUAUUGAAGGCCUAUAAGCAGGUGACAUAAAAUACCUUUUAUGUUAAGUACUUAAUUUUAUAUAUUUGCUUUGACAAUAUGAAUUAUGUAAAAAAUAAUAAUUUAAAACAAAAUUGAUCAGGCAGUUUGCAAUUGAGAUUGGCAUAUUUUUUUCCAGUGGAUUAAUACUUAACCUUUUUUUUUCUGUAAAAUCAGAAACAUGAAGGAUUCUUCAUCUCAUCACUGGUGCUGUGGUAUAGCACUCUUCCUGCUUCCGAAGAACUACUUUUCACAGUUCAGAACUGCGAUCUCUGGCAAACAAAUUAACCUCAAACUCCUGUUUGAACUUACCUGUAUUUUAGGUUUCAGCAAAAUUUGCUUGUCUCACUAGUUUGCUGCACCAGACAUUGCAGCUGCCUCUAGAAACAGUUGCCAGGUUGCUAUGUAGUCAGUAUUAUUUGUCUUUAGUAAUGACGUCAGUUUGUCAGGUAUAGUACCAGACAGAGAACUCGCGUACACUUGCUCUCCUUGAGUGAGCUGAUCCUUUUCCAGCAGUAGUCAAUCAAGGUUUGCUGUCCAGCACAACAUGAAGUCACCAUGAGCCUAAUAAAAGUUCGCUGAAAACUCUGAAA